GGUAUUGCCUAUACACAGGCGAACGUAAAGAACAGCCAGAGGUGGUCAACAAGUAGAGCGUAUGUCCAUGCAGUUCUUGGCAGGCCAAAUCUCCACGUGUCUUUGAAUUCCGUCGUUACGAAAUUAAUAAUAGAACAGACUACAGCACGGGGAGCUGUGUUCGUCAAAGGAGGUUACGAGUACUCUAUCAGAGCCAGGCGUGAGGUCAUCCUGUCUGCUGGUACCGUCGGUUCUCCAAGGAUUCUCAUGUUGUCUGGGGUCGGCCCUAGGAAACAGCUAGAAUGUUUAAAGAUAAAAUUGCAAGCUGAUCUACCAGUAGGAGAAAACGUACAAAAUCACCUGUUUUUUGAAGUAGGUGUUAAGAUUAAUAAACCCCUAAGUGUUGAUCCCUUAAGCCUUGCGUCGCCACAGGUUUUAGAACAGUACCGGGUUAACGGUUCAGGUCCUUUAGCGUCAUCAUUGGGAGAAAAUCUGGCAUAUACAAGUACAACUGCUUGGUCGAAGGGAAAAGAUUGGCCGGAUCUACUUCUUUUAUUUUUAAGUCUUCUACCCAAAACUAGAGAUAACUCUUUUGGAUACA